GACGAACGCUGGCGGCGUGCUUAACACAUGCAAGUCGAACGGAAAGGCCUCUUUCGGGGGGUACUCGAGUGGCGAACGGGUGAGUAACACGUGAGUAACCUGCCCUUGACUUUGGGAUAACUUCAGGAAACUGGGGCUAAUACCGGAUAGGAGCUCCUGCUGCAUGGUGGGGGUUGGAAAGUUUCGGCGGUUGGGGAUGGACUCGCGGCUUAUCAGCUUGUUGGUGGGGUAGUGGCUUACCAAGGCUUUGACGGGUAGCCGGCCUGAGAGGGUGACCGGCCACAUUGGGACUGAGAUACGGCCCAGACUCCUACGGGAGGCAGCAGUGGGGAAUAUUGCACAAUGGGUGGAAGCCUGAUGCAGCAACGCCGUGUGCGGGAUGACGGCCCUCGGGUUGUAAACCGCUUUCGCUCAUGACGAAGCUUUGUGUGACGGUAGUGGGUAAAGAAGCACCGGCUAACUACGUG
rnacentral:rRNA from 1 species